CAUGCAAGUCGAGCGGUAAGGCCCUUCGGGGUACACGAGCGGCGAACGGGUGAGUAACACGUGGGUGAUCUGCCCUGUACUUCGGGAUAAGCCUGGGAAACUGGGUCUAAUACCGGAUAUGACCUUACAUCGCAUGGUGUUUGGUGGAAAGAUUUAUCGGUACAGGAUGGGCCCGCGGCCUAUCAGCUUGUUGGUGGGGUAAUGGCCUACCAAGGCGACGACGGGUAGCCGGCCUGAGAGGGCGACCGGCCACACUGGGACUGAGACACGGCCCAGACUCCUACGGGAGGCAGCAGUGGGGAAUAUUGCACAAUGGGCGAAAGCCUGAUGCAGCGACGCCGCGUGAGGGAUGACGGCCUUCGGGUUGUAAACCUCUUUCGACAGGGACGAAGCGCAAGUGACGGUACCUGUAGAAGAAGCACCGGCCAACUACGUGCCAGCAGCCGCGGUAAUACGUAGGGUGCGAGCGUUGUCCGGAAUUACUGGGCGUAAAGAGCUUGUAGGCGGUUUGUC
rnacentral:rRNA from 1 species